CCUACGGGAGGCAGCAGUGAGGAAUAUUGGUCAAUGGGCGCGAGCCUGAACCAGCCAAGUCGCGUGAAGGAUGACUGCCCUACGGAUUGUAAACUUCUUUUAUAAAGGAGUAAAGUGAGGCACGUGUGCCUUUUUGUAUGUACUUUAUGAAUAAGGCUCGGCUAACUCCGUGCCAACAGCCGCGGUAAUACGGAGGAUCCGAGCGUUAUCCGGAUUUAUUGGGUUUAAAGGGGGCGUAGAUGGGUUUUUAAGUCAGUUGGGAAAGUUUGCGGCUCAAACGUAAAAUUGCACUUGAUACUGGGAGUCUUGAGUACAGUUGAGGUAGGCGGAAUUCGUGGUGUAGCGGUGAAAUGCUUAGAUAUCACGAAGAACUCCGAUUGCGAAGGCAGCUUACGAAACCGCGACUGACACUGAUGCUCGAAAGUGUGGGGAUCAAACAGGAUUAGAUACCCGGGUAGUC
rnacentral:rRNA from 1 species